CUGCGCGUCCGUUAGGAGUGGCAGACGGAGAUGCACAUGUGUAGUCAGCCGGCAUUUUUCGAGUCGUGUUGUAAAUGUUGUUAAUUCGCCGUAAAUAUCUCUUGAUUUGUACUCAAGGGUGGAGCAAGACCCCAAGGAAGAGAGAUUGACUCAUCGGGAGCGAAGAACAGAAACGAUGGAUGGUUACGCUGCUUGGGUCUCGGCACGUUCAAAUUGGCAAAGUUCCGAAUUUGUUGCUGUGUUGUGUCCGCUUGUGCGCUCGUUAUUUGCCGUCAUCGCUCGGAGAUAUUUGCGCUGGAUGUCUUUCACUUCGUGUACAAAACUCUGCUCGCUGCGGCAUCGAAGAAGUUGUCCUGUGUUUGGGUGCACGUAUGCGCUUGGACACGGAUAGCCUGCUUGCUCUCAACGGGUGUUCAACAGUCUACGCGCGCUGGUAACUUGCUCAUGAGGCAAGUUGCUGUUGUGCUGGAGCUGAGAAGAGGUCUGCUGCCUGCAAUGGGUCCAUCUCUCUCAAGUUAUUGCAGUAUUAUAGCUCUCAAGGUUCAAAAAAAGUAUGGUGGAAGCUGUUGCCAAGGUUCCGACCAGAAAAGACAGCCAGUAUAAAAGGGUCCACGCCACUGAUCUCUACUACAGGGGAUGAACAGCACAUCGAGCGCCCUCGACUGAAGCCGGCCUUGUCCCGGAAGUUGGUGCUUGACAACUUUGCGGCAGCACUUUGUUGCACGGCCUGUGGAGACAAGGUUUCUUAGACAUGGCCGUGGCCCUCAAGGAAGAUGCCGAGGCCACAGGCAGUUCCUCCAGUGACCGUGAAAAGGUCCCCUGGGGCACAAGUCUGGUUUGGCACCCCCACCUUUCUCCUGCAGCUUUUCUGUCUACUUAGCUAACCAGCAGCAAGUUUAUCCUUGCAAGUGUUUGGAGUCAAGAACAACUUUCACCAGGAAGAAGUGCAAGACGAGUGAUUGAAGAAAAUAAAGUUGCUUCUGUGAUCUAAGAACUUGAGGACUGAAAUGUUG